AAUAAGCAAAGAAUAAACUUUUCAAAGCAUCACGUAUAGGUGUACAUCAGUCCUAUUAAAGGUUCCUUAAAGAGUCAUUAUUGCUUCACCUACUCUGGAAUCUAGCCUUUUUAGUCCAAAGGCUAGUCUUUGAGCUUAGCUUUAUUGAUUGCAUGGAUCCUGGAAGAUGUUAAGGAAGAGUGAAAUAAGAAUUUUAACUUUUCAAAACUGAACUGGAAAUUCAGGGACAAGGAAUUUCAGGUCUUAAUUUUCUUUUGUGGAUUCAUUCAGGUCCGGUUGUACCUACAUUGUAACUCCAGAGGCUAAGAAGCAGGAUGGUAGAAGAUAUGAUGUCCUGAUACAACUGCUGAAAUAUAUUUUUAAACAUAAUUUUAUUUGUUUUGUUAAAUUUCCCCAAAUACUUGUAAAUGUUUUAAGUAUUCUUUUUUUUAAAAUGUUGAGGCCAAAGUUCUCUUUCUUCCUUUUACACCUCCCUUGCCACUUGAGAAGGCAAGAAAUGUCAAUUACACAUGUGAAGUCAUAGA
rnacentral:lncRNA from 1 species